rnacentral:rRNA from 1 species
UCCNGGCCCUACGGGGCGCAGCAGGCGCGAAACCUCCGCAAUGCACGCAAGUGCGACGGGGGAAUCCCAAGUGCCACUCUUAACGGGGUGGCUUUUCAGAAGUGUAAAAAGCUUCUGGAAUAAGGGCUGGGCAAGACCGGUGCCAGCCGCCGCGGUAACACCGGCAGCUCAAGUGGUAGUCGCUUUUAUUGGGCCUAAAGCGUCCGUAGCCGGUCUGAUAAGUCUCUGGUGAAAUCCCGCAGCUUAACUGUGGGAAUUGCUGGAGAUACUAUCAUGACUCGAGGUCGGGAGAGGCUGGAGGUACUCCCAGGGUAGGGGUGAAAUCUUGUAAUCCUGGGAGGACCACCUGUGGCGAAGGCGUCCAGCUGGAACGAACCUGACGGUGAGGGACGAAAGCCAGGGGCGCGAACCGGAUUAGAUACCCGGGUAGUCCUGGCCGUAAACGAUGUGGACUUGGUGUUGGGAUGGCUUCGAGCUGCCCCAGUGCCGAAGGNAANCUGUUAAGUCCACCGCCUGGGAAGUACGGNCG